CCUACGGGAGGCUGCAGUGAGGAAUAUUGGUCAAUGGGCGCAAGCCUGAACCAGCCAUCCCGCGUGGAGGAAGACGGCGCUAUGCGUUGUAAACUUCUUUUCAAGGGGAAGAAUUGUCCCGACGUGUCGGGGCUUGCCGGUACCUUUGGAAUAAGCAUCGGCUAACUCCGUGCCAGCAGCCGCGGUAAUACGGAGGAUGCGAGCGUUAUCCGGAUUUAUUGGGUUUAAAGGGUGCGUAGGCGGAUCGGUAAGUCGGCGGUGAAAUACCAUGGCUCAACUAUGGAAUUGCCGUUGAUACUGUCGGUCUUGAAUAUGGUCAAGGUAGGCGGAAUGUGUAAUGUAGCGGUGAAAUGCUUAGAUAUUACACAGAACACCGAUUGCGAAGGCAGCUUGCUGGGCCAGAAUUGACGCUGAGGCACGAAAGCGUGGGGAUCGAACAGGAUUAGAUACCCCGGUAGUC
rnacentral:rRNA from 1 species